rnacentral:rRNA from 1 species
AACCAAUUUUAGAGUUUGAUCCCCUGGCUCAGAGCGAACGCUGGCGGCAGGCCUAACACAUGCAAGUCGAACGAAGUCUUCGGACUUAGUGGCGGACGGGUGAGUAACACGUGGGAACGUGCCUUUAGGUUCGGAAUAACUCAGGGAAACUUGUGCUAAUACCGAAUGUGCCCUUCGGGGGAAAGAUUUAUCGCCUUUAGAGCGGCCCGCGUCUGAUUAGCUAGUUGGUGAGGUAAAGGCUCACCAAGGCUACGAUCAGUAGCUGGUCUGAGAGGAUGACCAGCCACAUUGGGACUGAGACACGGCCCAAACUCCUACGGGAGGCAGCAGUGGGGAAUCUUGCGCAAUGGGCGAAAGCCUGACGCAGCCAUGCCGCGUGGAUGAUGAAGGUCUUAGGAUUGUAAAAUCCUUUCACCGGUGAAGAUAAANACUGAGCCGGAGAAGAGCCCCG